rnacentral:rRNA from 1 species
UACGAGGGGGGCUAGCGUUGCCCGGAAUCACUGGGCGUAAAGCGCACGUAGGCGGCUUCUUAAGUCAGGGGUGAAAUCCUGGAGCUCAACUCCAGAACUGCCUUUGAUACUGAGAAGCUUGAGUCCGGGAGAGGUGAGUGGAACUGCGAGUGUAGAGGUGAAAUUCGUAGAUAUUCGCAAGAACACCAGUGGCGAAGGCGGCUCACUGGCCCGGUACUGACGCUGAGGUGCGAAAGCGUGGGGAGCAAACAGG